CCCUUCCUGACCUCUGGGCUUCCUGUCCUCUUAGGUGUGAACCCCAGCGCCAACUACCACGCCCUGUACCGCUACUUCGUGGAGCUCUGGAUCUACCUGGGGUUGGCCUGGCUGUCCCUCUUUGUCAACUGGAAGGUGAGCAUGUUUGUGGAAGUCCACAAGGCCAUCAAGAAGAGGCGGCGGCGGCGGAAGGAGUCCUUCGAGAGCUCCCCCCACUCCAGGACAGCCCUGCAGGUGGCGGGCAGUGGGGCCUCCAAGGACGUCAACAUCUUCAGCUUUCUGUCCAAGAAAGAGGAGACCUACAACGACCUCAUCAAGCAGAUCGGGAAGAAGGCCAUGAAGACGAGUGUGGGUGGGGAGAGGGGCCCAGGCCCGGGGCUGGGGACUCAGGGCGGCGGGCUGCCAGCCCUGCCCCCUUCCUUGGUGCCCCUGGUAGUCUACUCCAAGAACCGGGUGCCCAGCUUGGAAGAGGUGUCACAGACACUGAGGAGCAAAGGCCACGUGUCGAAGCCGCCCAGCGAGGAGGCUGGGCCGCGGGUCCCCGCGGACGGCUCCCCGGCCCCCGAGGUGCUCGGUCACCAGCUGGACCGCAUCAGCGAGGAGGGCGAGCCGUGGGACGCCCAGGACUACCACCCACUCAUCUUCCAGAACGCCAGCAUCACCUUCGUGAACGAGGACGCUGGCCUCUCGGACGAGGACACCUCCAAGUCCUCGCUGGAGGACAACCUGGCGGAGGAGGAGGGGCCCCCCCAGCAGGCGGAAGCCGAGGCACCCCUGAGCAUGGGCGAGUUCCCCUCCUCAGACGAGUCCACCUUCACCAGCACCGAGUCUGAGCUCUCCGUGCCCUACGAGCAGCUGAUGAACGAGUACAACGAGGCCAGCAGCCCCAAAGGCACGUGAGGCAGGGCCGGCUCCCCACCCACCUGGACGGCUUCUCUCCCCUCACCCGGGGUGUCCUGUCAUGGCUGGGACCCCUGGCCCCUGGUGGGGGGCAGCCCUGGAACUGGGAGUGGGGGGCCAGGGGCCUUUUUACCUUCCAUCCCCUCCAGCUAGUGCUGCCGAUGGCAGUGGCACCUGCCCAGGACAGGGCCUCUGUCCUCCCGCUGACCGUACCCCGGCUGUGGGGGGCAUCUGUCCUGAGCUUGGCUGGUGCAUGUGAUGAUUCACAGAUCUGCGGCUGGCAGGACAGGUGAGGGGUGACCCCGAGGAGACCUGUGCCUGCCUGGGCCUUCGCCCCGUCACUUGGUUGAAUGUCACGGUUCUCUGAGGCCAAGGCCUCGGCUAUUUGAGUGUUACUGAGCGACUUCUGCGUGCUGGUACUGAGCUAGACGUUUCGAGAGAGAGGAGGGUGCGUAAGACCCGGUUCUGCCUUUGGGAGCUCUAAAGGGUUUGGGGAGGUACAGCUGUGACAUGGGGGCCGGGCAUUUCAGCACCUGGGCAGUAGCAGCCCCGUCUCCCCUCUGGCCUAGGGCCUGCUGCCAAGAGCAGUAGAGCAGAGGCUGCUCCGGGAAGGAGAGAGGCGAUGGUGGGCAGGGGCUGCAACGGUUCCGACUCGAAGGACCUGGAGCAAGUCCAGUGUGGGCCCAGGUCUCAGUCCCACUUGUGGUCUGCCCAGCCCAGAGCCCUGCUCCCUGUCUCAGGCCAAGCGAUGGCAGAUGCCAGGCUUUCUGCCCCCCUGCCCCCCGGGUGGUAGGAAGGGAGAGUGGCAGGGCAUGGCCACUGGAAGCUGGGCCUCCCGGGGCUGCGGGGCAGGGAGCUGCGGGCCCAGCUCUGGCGAUCUGCCCUCACCCUUCCUGGAAGUGCCCACCCCACCUCCUGGUCUGAGGACCCACACUCCCCAUCCUGCUGUCUCCUUCCGCGUGCCCAGAACAAGGAGCUCACUGUCCUCUCCUCCUCCCAUCAUGGGCUGGGGGAGGGGUGGGGGGGUGAGGCCAAAUUGCUCUUGGCUCACAGAUGGGCAGUGGCCAAAUAUGUGAAUCCAGCUCCUCUCUCCAGCUACUGUUAUCGUGCGUGCAUGCCUGUGUGCAUGUGCACAUGCGUGCGUGUGUAAGAAAGGAAAAGAUUUGGGCUGGAGAGCAAAAGAUAAUGUGAAGCUGUACCCGGACUGUUUCUAGUGAGGGGUGGGCAGACUCGCUGCUGCCGAAGCCCUUGGGGUCUCCGUGAUGCCCACCCUGUCCUGAAUGUUUCUGUUAUUUUUUUAAAUGAACUGCUGUUUUUAUAUACCUGGAAUCUGUCGUAGGCUUCAGAGCCAGUGGUUAAAGCACAGGGUCCCGAGGAUUGGGAUGUCCAGUGUCCGCCCUGCGGGCCUGCCCUGGUGACCUCAGCCAAGGCCAUGACAUCAAGGGCCAAGUCCCCGUGCAGAGCUGGGGAGGGACGCAGGUCUGCAAGUGAGCCGAGGUGGGGGGGGG